GCAGCCGUGGCCUACUAGUUAGGGCUUUGGCUUGUACCCGAAGGGUUGCCGGUUCGAUCCCCGACCAGUAGGA
rnacentral:tRNA from 1 species